CGUGAGCUUCUACUGAUCGUGAUCUUCCCCAUCAUCAUCAAACUGGUCAUCACCUCUGCUCUCUUAGUCAAGUUCCUGGUGUUAAGUGAACCGCCUCCUCUCUGUGGCUUAAAAGGAAACUGCAGUGUCCCAACUCAGCCUUAUCUGUCUAAGAAUCCAGUGAAUCAGACAGAUAACAUCACUGCAGAUUGCACCGUUCUGGUCAGUGAUGGCCGGCGUAUUGUUGGGGGGGCGUUGGCGGUCAAGGAAAAGUGGGUGUGGCAGG